UCAGUGCUCAGAAUAGUCAAUAUGAAGAGAUUUAACCAAGCGCGGGUAAACAGCGGGAGUAACUAUGACUCUCUUAAGGUAGCCAAAUGCCUCGUCGUCCAAUUAGCGACGCGCAUGAAUGGAUUAAUGAGAUUCCCACUGUCCCUAAUUACUAUCUAGCGAAACCACAGCCAAGGGAACGGGCUUGGCAAAAUUAGGCGGGGAAAGAAGACCCUGUUGAGCUUGACUUUAUUCAGAAUUUUGUGAAAAUGGUGCUCGAGGUAUAGAAUAGGUGGGAGUGUAACGAAAUUGAAAUACCACUACUUUUGACGUUGUUUUACUUAUUAAAUAAAAAACUAAAAGAUUAAUAAUCUUGAUUCUAGAAUUAACGAAUAUUACAUGUUGACUCCAUGUGGGUUAACCUCUGAUUUGGGAAGUUUGUUUAAGACAUUUUCUGGUGGGGAGUUUGGCUGGGG
rnacentral:rRNA from 1 species